rnacentral:rRNA from 1 species
CCAAUAGCGUAUAUUAAAGUUGUUGCAGUUAAAAAGCUCGUAGUUGAAUUUUGGGUUUGGCCGAUUGGUCCGUUCUUGUAGCGAGUACUGGUCGGUUGGGCCUCACCGCUUGGGGAAGGGUAAUGUCCUUUAUUGGGUGUUGCUCCUAGCCAAGACCUUUACCUUGAAAAAAUUAGAGUGUUUAAAGCAGGCAUAUGCCAGAAUACAUUAGCAUGGAAUAAUAGAAUAGGACAAUGAUUCUAUUUUGUUGGUUUCUAGGACCGUUGUAAUGAUUAAUAGGGAUAGUUGGGGGCAUUAGUAUUCAAUUGUCAGAGGUGAAAUUCUUGGAUUUAUUGAAGACUAACUACUGCGAAAGCAUUUGCCAAGGAUGUUUUCAUUAAUCAAGAACGAAAGUUAGGGGAUCGAAGACGAUCAGAUACCGUCGUAGUCUUAACCAUAAACUAUGCCGACUAGGGAUCGGGCGAUGUUGUUUCAAUGACUCGCUCGGCACCUUAUG